GUUGACCGUUCUGUAAAUGAUGGUACUGGUCCAAAUAUAUACAAAAUAAACGGGCAGGUUUGUCAUCGAAUGGGAUCUCUUAUGCCUAAGGAAGGAAAUACCCCUAAGUAUGCCGAACUCUAUAUAUAUGAUACCCAAAAUGAGGUGCAAAACAGGAUUCAGGCUUUAGAAAAGGGUGAAAAGAGCGAUGGUGGUUUAGAUGAAUCCAUUGUUGAAGGCUUGAUGCAUAUGCUUGAUACACACAACUCUUAUGUCAAAACGUUUAGAUCAGCUAGAGAAAUACUAGCAGCUAAUAGGCAUACCGAGAUAGCCAUUCGUUUAGUUGCCCCUGGAGAAUCUGAUGGCCCACAAUUUAGCCUUCCUACAACUGAUGAGCUAGCGUCUUUAAUGUUUGGUGAGUUCACGGUGGAGGCUUCUUAUCGUGACAUAAUAAUACACGGUAGAGAUGACAAUCUGCAUCAAAUAUCUUCUUUGCAAACUUCAUAUAUGCCUUUGCAGUAUCCUCUUCUCUUCCCCUAUGCAGAACGUGGGCUUCAGCUCGGGCUUAUAUAUUGGUUAGACCCUUUAGAUACUAGCAAAAGAACCAGGCUCACUGUGCAGGACUACUAUUCCUAUUGUCUCCACUAUAGACCAGAGCAGCAUAAUCCAUACCUUUGUUGUGGUUUGCUUUCCUCACAGGCCAUUGUAGAUGCACGCGCUUGCAUAGACGAGUGGAGGCUACAUUUCAUCAUGAAGGCUAAUAAUGAUCUUAGAGCAUAG
rnacentral:rRNA from 1 species